rnacentral:tRNA from 1 species
GGGCCAUUAGCUCAAUUGGUAGAGCAGCGGACUCUUAAUCCGUUGGCUGAUGGUUCGAGUCCAUCAUGGCCCA